AGAGUUUGAUCCUGGCUCAGAUUGAACGCUGGCGGCAGGCCUAACACAUGCAAGUCGAGCGGUAGCACAGAGAGCUUGCUCUCGGGUGACGAGCGGCGGACGGGUGAGUAAUGUCUGGGAAACUGCCUGAUGGAGGGGGAUAACUACUGGAAACGGUAGCUAAUACCGCAUAACGUCGCAAGACCAAAGUGGGGGACCUUCGGGCCUCAUGCCAUCAGAUGUGCCCAGAUGGGAUUAGCUAGUAGGUGGGGUAACGGCUCACCUAGGCGACGAUCCCUAGCUGGUCUGAGAGGAUGACCAGCCACACUGGAACUGAGACACGGUCCAGACUCCUACGGGAGGCAGCAGUGGGGAAUAUUGCACAAUGGGCGCAAGCCUGAUGCAGCCAUGCCGCGUGUGUGAAGAAGGCCUUCGGGUUGUAAAGCACUUUCAGCGGGGAGGAAGGCGGUGAGGUUAAUAACCUCAUCGAUUGACGUUACCCGCAGAAGAAGCACCGGCUAACUCCGUGCCAGCAGCCGCGGUAAUACGGAGGGUGCAAGCGUUAAUCGGAAUUACUGGGCGUAAAGCGCACGCAGGCGGUCUGUCAAGUCGGAUGUGAAAUCCCCGGGCUCAACCUGGGAACUGCAUUCGAAACUGGCAGGCUAGAGUCUUGUAGAGGGGGGUAGAAUUCCAGGUGUAGCGGUGAAAUGCGUAGAGAUCUGGAGGAAUACCGGUGGCGAAGGCGGCCCCCUGGACAAAGACUGACGCUCAGGUGCGAAAGCGUGGGGAGCAAACAGGAUUAGAUACCCUGGUGGUCCACGCCGUAAACGAUGUCGAUUUGGAGGUUGUGCCCUUGAGGCGUGGCUUCCGGAGCUAACGCGUUAAAUCGACCGCCUGGGGAGUACGGCCGCAAGGUUAAAACUCAAAUGAAUUGACGGGGGCCCGCACAAGCGGUGGAGCAUGUGGUUUAAUUCGAUGCAACGCGAAGAACCUUACCUGGUCUUGACAUCCACAGAACUUUCCAGAGAUGGAUUGGUGCCUUCGGGAACUGUGAGACAGGUGCUGCAUGGCUGUCGUCAGCUCGUGUUGUGAAAUGUUGGGUUAAGUCCCGCAACGAGCGCAACCCUUAUCCUUUGUUGCCAGCGGUUAGGCCGGGAACUCAAAGGAGACUGCCAGUGAUAAACUGGAGGAAGGUGGGGAUGACGUCAAGUCAUCAUGGCCCUUACGACCAGGGCUACACACGUGCUACAAUGGCAUAUACAAAGAGAAGCGACCUCGCGAGAGCAAGCGGACCUCAUAAAGUAUGUCGUAGUCCGGAUUGGAGUCUGCAACUCGACUCCAUGAAGUCGGAAUCGCUAGUAAUCGUAGAUCAGAAUGCUACGGUGAAUACGUUCCCGGGCCUUGCACACACCGCCCGUC
rnacentral:rRNA from 1 species